CGGGGUAUAGCGCAGUUGGUAGCGCGCUUGUCUGGGGGGCAAGAGGUCAUGAGUUCAAGUCUCGUUACUCCGACCA
rnacentral:tRNA from 2 species